GGAGCCAGUGACUCUCCCGCCCGCUCCGCCGCGUACGGAGAUGGAGCGGGGCGCGAGGUUCUGGGUGCGCCGUGGAGGGACUGGGUCGGCUUCUUCGAGGGUGGGGAAGAAUCUUCCUUCCUACGAGGCGUGCCCUUGACAUGCUCGCUUUCUGAAAAGAUAAAUUGCAUGUGCACAGCACCUUAUAGUUUGCUUUUCGAUCCCUUACCUCUUGCCAUCUUUACAACACCCAGAGUAGUGAUGGUUAUCCUCAUUUUGUACCCGGGCUAAAGUGGGGAGGAUGUGAUUUAAUUUGGCUCUCUCAGUAGACUCAGAGACGGGUGGAGAGAGACCUCCCCCCAAGCCCCGCCCUCUCUGGUCCAGAAAGGUGGGACUUACCCCGAGUUGUUAAAAGAUAUUUAACAGUGAAGAGAAAUUGCAAAGCCUGAAGAACUCACGAUGUGAUGACCAGAUCUCUGCAGCCCACAUUUCUCUGUGAGGCUUAGACCCAUGGACCCCCAGCCCUGCCCCCUUCUCUCCUCUUGGGGUGUUUGCACCUGCUACUCACUCUACUUAGAAUGCACCCUCUCUUGACCAGCUCAGCUCAUCUGUCUGGCCCAUCUUCCUCUGCAGGCCCUCACUGCUGCAGCAGGCUCCAGGUCCCAGUUAGAUGCCUCUCCCGUAAGCCCCUGGUCUUAACUCUUCUCACCCCACAGCAACAGUCUGUUUCUUAGCCUUUCUGUCCCAGGAACUUGUAAACUCCUUGAGGUCAGAGACUGUCGCACCUGUGCCCAGCUCCUACCAUAGUGUCUGCUGCUACCUAGCAUGUAUUAGAUCUUCAGUAAAUAUUAAAUGAGUGACUAAAAGAAGGAAUGCUUAAGACUGUUCAGUUUGCUGAGAAGUCAACCUAAGAUAAGCACCAAAAAAUACUGGCAUUAGGUACGAGGAGUUCGUCAGUUAACUCUACAGGAUGGGCUUCAGCUGAGAGCGAUGAUACAGGAACAGAACAAGUGGGAGGUGGGCGAGUAGGAAUAGCAAGUGUCCACAAGGCCUUGAAAAGUAGCCAUGAGGUGGAAAACGGCGAGCAGUGGGGUGGGGUGAGGUUUUGUGUUUCUGCUUUCUCUCUCUGGUGGUAGAUACCUGAGCACGUCUGACGUUCUCUGGGAGGAGCUGUCAGGAGCGAGAGUUGAAGAUGCAUAAGGGAGAGGGCAGCACUGAGGACAUGAGAUCAUGAAGGAAGCAGGAGAUAGGAUUUGAGCCCAGUGAGAACACAAGCAUCGUAGAGUGUUCUCAGGAAGAGAAGUGGAGGGCGGUGUAGGCAGAAGAAUAGCACAGGAGUUCCCGUUGUGGUGCAGCAGAAAGGAAUCUGACUGGGAACCAUGAGGUUUCGGGUUCAAUCCCUGGUCUCACUCAGUGGGUUAAGGAUCCAGCAUUGCCGUGAGCUGUGGUGUAGGUCGCAGACGCAGCUUGGAUCUGGCGUUGCUGUAGCUGUGGUGUAGGCCAACGUCUACAGCUCCAAUUGGACCCCUGGCCUGGGAAUCUCCAUAUGCCGCGAAUAUGGCUCUAAAAAGACCAAAAAAAGAAAAAAA
rnacentral:lncRNA from 1 species